UAUAUAGAACUAGGCUGUUAUGCUAUUAAUAGCACCAAGUCAUUGGUGCUACCAAGUUUUUGGCCAUUAUAUUAAGAGAUGUGCGGUUAGGAUGAUGUGAGCCCCCUAGGGUUGAGUGCGUGGUUGGUUGAAUAGUAUGAUCUAACGGGUAAAAAUGAUCAAAAGGGUAGAUCUAAUGGCGGCAAGCUUGGUAGCACCAAGUCUUCGUGCUAUUAAGAGCAUAGUAGCCGGACCCUCUCUCUCUCUCUAUAUAUAUAUAUAAGCUUGUACAAAACAACAAAUUUGUAUUCUAAUCUGACUCCCAUAACCCAAAAUAGAUUUAACAACAUUCAUUAUAUGAAAUAAUUCUUUCUCCAGUAUCAUCAAAUUUUACCAAUCAAAGAAUGUUUAGUGAAUGGGACUCUCUGAUUAUUUGCCGUCAUCACAAAGCUACUGAAAAUAAUUUGGUUCAACG
rnacentral:lncRNA from 1 species